rnacentral:rRNA from 1 species
UGGGGAAUAUUGCACAAUGGGCGAAAGCCUGAUGCAGCAACGCCGCGUGAGUGAUGAAGGCCUUCGGGUUGUAAAGCUCUGUCUUUUGGGACGAUAAUGACGGUACCAAAGGAGGAAGCCACGGCUAACUACGUGCCAGCAGCCGCGGUAAUACGUAGGUGGCAAGCGUUGUCCGGAUUUACUGGGCGUAAAGGAUGCGUAGGCGGAUUUUUAAGUGAGAUGUGAAAUACCCGGGCUUAACUUGGGUGCUGCAUUUCAAACUGGGAUCUAGAGUGCGGGAGAGGAGAAUGGAAUUCCUAGUGUAGCGGUGAAAUGCGUAGAGAUUAGGAAGAACACCAGUGGCGAAGGCGAUUCUCUGGACCGUAACUGACGCUGAGGCAUGAAAGCGUGGGUAGCAAACAGGAUUAGAUACCCUGGUAGUCCACGCCGUAAACGAUGAGUACUAGGUGUAGGAGGUAUCGACCCCUUCUGUGCCGCAGUUAACACAAUAAGUACUCCGCCUGGGAAGUACGAUCGCAAGAUUAAAACUCAAAUGAAUUGACGGGGUCAUAGCUGUUUUCC